rnacentral:misc_RNA from 1 species
AAGUCGUAACAAGGUUUCCGUAGGUGAACCUGCGGAAGGAUCAUUAUCGAUAAAUAAAUAGCAAUAUUUAUGAAUUGAAAGUUUGGGGUAGAAAGUUUGUUAUAAGAUUUCUAUUUGGUCUACCUUGAACUCUAAAUGUAAAAAAGAAAUCGGCUAGCAACAAAGUUUUUAUAAACAAAGUUGAAAGUAUAUAUAAAAUGUAGUUGGUCUUAACAAAAGAAACGUCUUGAUAACUUUUAACGAUGGAUCUCUUGGCUCUCAU